AGUGAACGCUGGCGGCGUGCUUAACACAUGCAAGUCGAACGAGAACGGAUUAUAGCUUGCUAUAAUUGUCAGCUAAGUGGCGCACGGGUGAGUAAUGUAUAGGUAAUAUGCCUCUUACUAAGGGAUAACAAAUGGAAACGUUUGCUAAUACCUUAUACUCCUUAUUAACAUAAGUUAAUAAGGGAAAGAUUUAUUGGUAAGAGAUUAGCCUGUAUUGUAUCAGUUAGUUGGUGGGGUAAUGGCUUACCAAGACUAUGACACAUAACUGGUUUGAGAGGAUGAUCAGUCGCACUGGAACUGAGACACGGUCCAGACUCCUACGGGAGGCAGCAGUGGGGAAUAUUGCACAAUGGACGAAAGUCUGAUGCAGCAACGCCGCGUGGAGGAUGACACAUUUCGGUGCGUAAACUCCUUUUAUAUGAGAAGAUAAUGACGGUAUUAUAUGAAUAAGCACCGGCUAACUCCGUGCCAGCCGCCGCUGUAACAC
rnacentral:rRNA from 1 species